AUUGAACGCUGGCGGCAUGCUUUACACAUGCAAGUCGAACGGUAACAGGCCGCAAGGUGCUGACGAGUGGCGAACGGGUGAGUAAUGCAUCGGAACGUGCCCAGUCGUGGGGGAUAACGCAGCGAAAGCUGCGCUAAUACCGCAUACGAUCUGUGGAUGAAAGCGGGGGACCGUAAGGCCUCGCGCGAUUGGAGCGGCCGAUGUCAGAUUAGGUAGUUGGUGGGGUACAGGCUCACCAAGCCAACGAUCUGUAGCUGGUCUGAGGGGACGACCAGCCACACUGGGACUGAGACACGGCCCAGACUCCUACGGGAGGCAGCAGUGGGGAACUUUGGACAAUGGGCGCAAGCCUGAUCCAGCAAUGCCGCGUGCAGGAAGAAGGCCUUCGGGUUGUAAACUGCUUUUGUACGGAACGAAAAGGCUCUGGUUAAUACCUGGGGCUCAUGACGGUACCGUAAGAAUAAGCACCGGCUAACUACGUGCCAGCCGCCGCGGUAACAC
rnacentral:rRNA from 1 species